rnacentral:tRNA from 1 species
AACUAAGUAGCUUAUGGGAGAGCAUUACAUUGAAGCUGUAAAGGUGCUAUUUUAGCCGUAGUUA